rnacentral:rRNA from 1 species
AUUGACGAUGGAUCACCAGUGAGUGGCGGACGGGUGAGUAACACGUAGGUAACCUGCCCCGGAGCGGGGGAUAACAUUUGGAAGCAGAUGCUAAUACCGCAUAACAACAAAAGCCACAUGGCUUUUGUUUGAAAGAUGGCUUUGGCUAUCACUCUGGGAUGGACCUGCGGUGCAUUAGCUAGUUGGUAAGGUAACGGCUUACCAAGGCGAUGAUGCAUAGCCGAGUUGAGAGACUGAUCGGCCACAAUGGAACUGAGACACGGUCCAUACUCCUACGGGUGGCAGCAGUAGGGAAUCUUCCACAAUGGGCGCAAGCCUGAUGGAGCAACACCGCGUGAGUGAAGAAGGGUUUCGGCUCGUAAAGCUCUGUUGUUGGAGAAGAACGUGCGUGAGAGUAACUGUUCACGCAGUGACGGUAUCCAACCAGAAAGUCACGGCUAACUACGUGCCAGCAGCCGCGGUAAUACGUAGGUGGCAAGCGUUAUCCGGAUUUAUUGGGCGUAAAGCGAGCGCAGGCGGUUGCUUAGGUCUGAUGUGAAAGCCUUCGGCUUAACCGAAGAAGUGCAUCGGAAACCGGGCGACUUGAGUGCAGAGGAGGACAGUGGAACUCCAUGUGUAGCGGUGGAAUGCGUAGAUAUAUGGAAGAACACCAGUGGCGAAGGCGGCUGUCUGGUCUGCAACUGACGCUGAGGCUCGAAAGCAUGGGUAGCGAACAGGAUUAGAUACCCUGGUAGUCCAUGCCGUAAACGAUGAGUGCUAGGUGUUGGAGGGUUUCCGCCCUUCAGUGCCGGAGCUAACGCAUUAAGCACUCCGCCCUGGGGGAGUACGACCGCAAGGUUGAAACUC